UAAAAAACGAUAAGAAAGACGAGUAAACGUUGGUAAUUCGUCCAGUGAGCUAAGGAUAGUGCGAGCUUAGCAGACCCUGCCUCGUUGAAAAACCCUUUCCAGUUGCUAACCCAAAUGGUUAUUCCAAAGUAGACUUAGCCGUCACCGACACGUUAUCGUCGGAUGAGUAUAGUUUGUACUCACUAAGAGAUCCGAUUAUUCGGAUAAUUUGGGUGGCACCGCGGAAAGAAGCCUUUCGUCCCAGAA
rnacentral:ncRNA from 1 species